AACCUGCCCUUGACUCUGGGAUAAGCCUGGGAAACUGGGUCUAAUACCGGAUAUGACCUUCCAUCGCAUGGUGGUUGGUGGAAAGCUUUUGUGGUUUUGGAUGGACUCGCGGCCUAUCAGCUUGUUGGUGGGGUAAUGGCCUACCAAGGCGACGACGGGUAGCCGGCCUGAGAGGGUGACCGGCCACACUGGGACUGAGACACGGCCCAGACUCCUACGGGAGGCAGCAGUGGGGAAUAUUGCACAAUGGGCGCAAGCCUGAUGCAGCGACGCCGCGUGAGGGAUGACGGCCUUCGGGUUGUAAACCUCUUUCAGUAGGGAAGAAGCGAAAGUGACGGUACCUGCAGAAGAAGCGCCGGCUAACUACGUGCCAGCAGCCGCGGUAAUACGUAGGGCGCAAGCGUUAUCCGGAAUUAUUGGGCGUAAAGAGCUCGUAGGCGGUUUGUCGCGUCUGCCGUGAAAGUCCGGGGCUCAACUCCGGAUCUGCGGUGGGUACGGGCAGACUAGAGUGAUGUAGGGGAGACUGGAAUUCCUGGUGUAGCGGUGAAAUGCGCAGAUAUCAGGAGGAACACCGAUGGCGAAGGCAGGUCUCUGGGCAUUAACUGACGCUGAGGAGCGAAAGCAUGGGGAGCGAACAGGAUUAGAUACCCUGGUAGUCCAUGCCGUAAACGUUGGGCACUAGGUGUGGGGGACAUUCCACGUUUUCCGCGCCGUAGCUAACGCAUUAAGUGCCCCGCCUGGGGAGUACGGCCGCAAGGCUAAAACUCAAAGGAAUUGACGGGGGCCCGCACAAGCGGCGGAGCAUGCGGAUUAAUUCGAUGCAACGCGAAGAACCUUACCAAGGCUUGACAUGGACCGGACCGCCGCAGAAAUGUGGUUUCCCCUUUGGGGCCGGUUUACAGGUGGUGCAUGGUUGUCGUCAGCUCGUGUCGUGAGAUGUUGGGUUAAGUCCCGCAACGAGCGCAACCCUCGUUCUAUGUUGCCAGCGGUUCGGCCGGGGACUCAUAGGAGACUGCCGGGGUCAACUCGGAGGAAGGUGGGGACGACGUCAAAUCAUCAUGCCCCUUAUGUCUUGGGCUUCACGCAUGCUACAAUGGCCGGUACAAAGGGUUGCGAUACUGUGAGGUGGAGCUAAUCCCAAAAAGCCGGUCUCAGUUCGGAUUGGGGUCUGCAACUCGACCCCAUGAAGUCGGAGUCGCUAGUAAUCGCAGAUCAGCAACGCUGCGGUGAAUACGUUCCCGGGCCUUGUACACACCGCCCG
rnacentral:rRNA from 1 species